AGAGUUUGAUCCUGGCUCAGGACGAACGCUGGCGGCGUGCUUAACACAUGCAAGUCGAACGGGGAGUUCAGCAAUGGACUUCUAGUGGCGAACGGGUGAGUAACGCGUAGACAACCUACCUUCUAGAUGGGGACAACACCGCGAAAGUGGUGCUAAUACCGAAUGUUGCGUCGAGGGCUCAUGCUCUUGCCGCCAAAGAUGGCCUCUAUUUAUAAGCUAUCGCUAGAAGAUGGGUCUGCGUCUGAUUAGCUAGUAGGCGGGGUAAAAGCCCACCUAGGCGACGAUCAGUAGCCGGUCUGAGAGGAUGAACGGCCACACUGGGACUGAGACACGGCCCAGACUCCUACGGGAGGCAGCAGUGGGGAAUCUUCCGCAAUGGACGAAAGUCUGACGGAGCAACGCCGCGUGAGUGAUGAAGGUCUUCGGAUUGUAAAGCUCUGUUAUCGGGGAAGAAUACUUUUCUUGUGAAUAAUGAGGGAAGUUGACGGUACCCGAGGAGGAAGCCACGGCUAACUACGUGCCAGCAGCCGCGGUAAUACGUAGGUGGCGAGCGUUGUCCGGAAUUAUUGGGCGUAAAGCGCGCGUAGGCGGGAUAUUAAGUCUAUUCUAAAAGUGCGGGGCUCAACCCCGUGAUGGGAUGGAAACUAAUAUUCUUGAGUACCGGAGAGGAAAGCGGAAUUCCCAGUGUAGCGGUGAAAUGCGUAGAUAUUGGGAGGAACACCAGUGGCGAAGGCGGCUUUCUGGACGGUGUCUGACGCUGAGGCGCGAAAGCCAGGGGAGCGAACGGGAUUAGAUACCCC
rnacentral:rRNA from 1 species